UACGUAGGGGGCAAGCGUUGUCCGGAAUUAUUGGGCGUAAAGAGCGCGUAGGCGGUCCGAUAAGUCGGCUGUGAAAGUCAGGGGCUCAACCCUUGAAAGCCGGCCGAUACUGUCGGACUAGAGUCCGGAAGAGGCAAGUGGAAUUCCCGGUGUAGCGGUGGAAAUGCGCAGAUAUCGGGAGGAACACCAAUGGCGAAGGCAGCUUGCUGGGACGGUACUGACGCUGAGGCGCGAAAGCGUGGGGAGCAAACAGG
rnacentral:rRNA from 1 species